CAGCCGCCGCGGUAAUACGUAGGGGGCGAGCGUUACCCGGAUUCACUGGGCGUAAAGCGGGUGUAGGCGGCUCGGUAAGUCGGGUGUGAAAUCCCACAGCUCAACUGUGGAAUUGCGCCCGAAACUGCUGAGCUUGGGGCCGGUAGAGGGAGACGGAACUGCCGGUGUAGGGGUGAAAUCCGUAGAUAUCGGCAGGAACGCCGGUGGGGAAGCCGGUCUCCUGGGCCGCGCCCGACGCUGAGACCCGAAAGCUAGGGGAGCAAACCGGAUUAGAUACCCGGGUAGUCCUAGCCGUAAACGAUGCCCACUAGGUGUGGGGGAUUAAUUCCUCCGUGCUGUAGCUAACGCGUUAAGUGGGCCGCCUGGGGAGUACGCCCGCAAGGGUGAAACUUAAAGGAAUUGGCGGG
rnacentral:rRNA from 1 species